rnacentral:tRNA from 1 species
CGCAAUGUAGCUUAAUCAAAGCAUCUCGCUUACACCGAGAAAAUGCCUGUGAAACUCUGACCAUUUCGA